AUUUUAAUUUUAAAUUUUUUUUGUCCUUAACGGUAAUUAUGUACAAGGGUAAAAUAGGUUAUUCAUAUUUAAAAUUAGUAUGGGGUGUAAAGAGCAAAUAAUGGGGUGCCUAUAAAAUCACCCAAAUAAUAAUUGGUUAGUAACCAAAAUUCUAAUGAAAUAAGGAACCAAAAUCCUAACUAAGUAUGGACUCGCCAACAAGGACUUGUUGUCUGCAAAGCCCUUUUCGGUGGAUUGGUUGAUUAUAUUAUUUCUGAUCCCGUUGUUGCUAUGAUUUGGGAGGGUAAGAAUGUUAUCCUAACUGGUCGAAAGAUUAUUGGUGCCACCAACCCAGCAGAAUCUGCCCCUGGAACCAUCCGUGGUGAUUAUGCAAUUGAGAUUGGCAGCAUGUCAUUGCUUUUCAUCCCAGGGCAAGAGAGAUCCACAAUGGAAUUGUACUAACCGUCGACCGUAGUAGGUGUUCUGUGCAGUUUGACCAGCUUGAACUAGGGGUUGAAUAUAUCAUGGUGUGAUGGAGAUAUCAUUGUUCAAAGCACUUGUUAAUGACAUAGAGUUAGACGAAAGGACACGUACACCCAAAUGGAAUUGGAUGAGGUGCGAGAAGAAUUGGCAACUCAUGUCCUAUAAUGGCCUUUUGAUUGAACUAAACAUUCCUCCUUCAUUUUUCAUGUCUUUCUAGCUAGUAUUUUGCGUAAAUGUAGACAAGUAUGGAUAAUUUGUGGUGUCAGGUUGGAAAAAUUGUGAUUUGGAUGUGAUAAGUAUGGAUCUUUCAAGUAUUUUGCUUAU